UACGGGGGGAGCAAGCGUUGUUCGGAUUUACUGGGCGUAAAGGGCGCGUAGGCGGCGUAACAAGUCACUUGUGAAAUCUCCGGGCUUAACUCGGAGCGGCCAAGUGAUACUGUUGUGCUAGAGUGCGGAAGGGGCUACUGGAAUUCUCGGUGUAGCGGUGAAAUGCGUAGAUAUCGAGAGGAACACCUGCGGCGAAGGCGGGUAGCUGGGCCGACACUGACGCUGAGGCGCGAAAGCUAGGGGAGCGAACGGG
rnacentral:rRNA from 1 species